GCCGGGAUAGCUCAGCUGGGAGAGCAAUAGACUGAAGAGAUUUAUAUUGGAUUCUGGAGGUCGCGUGUUCAAUCCACGCUCCUGGCA